AGGACCCAGUAGCACCGAAAGAUGCUCAGGUGCCACCACCCGACCAGCGCGCUAAGGAGCAAUUCGCAGAGCCGGUGUCUGGGAAGCCUGUUUUCUCACUUAAUCUUGGAUGUUCCUUCCGGAGAGUGGCGCUCAGUGUCGCAGGACCUGGAGCCAGAACUGUGGUGUAUCUCGCCCAGCCAGGUGACACCAAGGAGCCAGUCAAUCCAACCAGGGGAGUCAAGGUCUGGAAAACUCGGAAGAGGAGAACUCUGGAAACUGUGUGUGUGCUGCUCCUGGCCCCUGGUGAGCCCCAGACCCUGAUGAACUCUCAGAAGACUUGGAGGAAGACACUUAAAACACUUGGGUAACUCAGCGGCUGAAGCCUCACAUAGGAUCCCUGGACAAAUGGGAGCUGUUCAGACCCUUUGAGACGGGAUAGUCGGAUGUUGCUCCUGGGGCUUUCUGGAUACGACAGCACCUGUUGCCUCUCUGUGCCCUUCACCGUGACAGACUACGGUCACACACUAGCUCUCAUGAGCACCUCGAGUCCUGCAGCAAACUGCUGAGGGCAAGCCACUGUGUGGAGCUGCCCUGCAUCUCUGGCGGGAUAUAACUGCAUUGUGGAGAACUGCUCUGGCUACUGUCUGUGAGGGGCGUGCACACCUCUGUCAACAGCGGCCGCAGGGCUGAACUCAGCACACGGAUCACAGUGGAAGCGCUAUUGGUGCUGCUGGGUAAUAAAUGGAGCCAUGAAUGAGCUCAGAGCUGCUACAAUAUUGGUGACCACAGCUUAAAAGCAGACAAACUCAAAUAAAAAACUCACUUCGCCAGUCACAGCUGCCACACCGCCAGGAUGCACAAAAGCCACCCGUGGCUGUUGGCUAUUAUACUGGACAACCCAGACUGAAGAAUGCCACAGAAAGCACUGGAUGCCGUUAUGACAAGCAUCACUUGGAGCUUUCCAGUGCCCAACUUCACAACUGUUUACACAGGGCCUGUAAGAGUGAGGGUCUCCCUUGCGUCUGCUGUCAGGUUAGUUCUUGGUCAAAGACUAUACCACCUGUAAUCUAAACAGAUUAUUUAAACAGAUUAUUUAAAA